GCCUUCGUGGUGUAGUGGUCAGCACGCUCGACGCGUAACCGGGAGAUCCGUGGUUCGAUUCCCGGUCAAGGCG
rfam:Stegodyphus mimosarum contig4775, whole genome shotgun sequence.